rnacentral:misc_RNA from 1 species
AGUUAAACAGUACGUGAAAUUGUUGAAAGGGAAACGAUUAAAGUCAGUCGUACCUACGAGUAAUCAACCUACACGAGCGCGAUUUUGUGGGUAUGAAGAGGUAAAACCUUCAUGUUUGCAAAUUGGUGUUCUUUGGGUGUACUUUCUCGUAUGGUAGGUUAACAUCAAUUUCGAUCGUUAUAAAAUGACGGGAGGAAUGUAGCUUCGACUUCGGUUGAAGUGUUAUAGCCUCUGGUAGAUGUAAUGAUUGGGAUUGAGGAUUGCAACGGAUACCCUCUGGGCUAUUCGUCUGAUCUCUGGAAGUUACCUUGGUGUCGAAAGCGUGCUUAUGACAUUAAGAAUGACGGCCAAAAGGUUAGAACGGAAUUAAAUUCGUUAAGGAUGUUGACGUAAUGGCUUUAAA